rnacentral:misc_RNA from 1 species
ACAAACUUGGUCAUUUAGAGGAAGUAAAAGUCGUAACAAGGUAACCGUAGGUGAACCUGCGGUUGGAUCAUUAAAAAUCUAAUAAAAGAGAAGGGGUGUUUGGACUCGACCAGAGAUUUGGCGGUUGGAAUUGUGGCCUUCUCAUUAGAGGCUCUUUCCAAAAGUCAAGGCUCUGACCGAGCCCCCUCCUUCACUUGACACCUUGUGAAUCAUUGAAAUGUAUUUUGGCGGCGCCCUUUGCACCGUAAAAAAGUGUGAUUGGAGAGGAUGAAUCUGUUUCGGGUUCGUCACGAUCGGGUCGCGCCGCCGACAUAUUGCAAACACCUGUAUUUUUAAAACUUAUUCUGAAAACAACUUGAACCAAUGAGAAACAACUUUAGACAACGGAUCUCUUGGCUCUCGCAUCGAUGAAGAACGCAGC